UCCGGCUCUACGCCGGCAGUCUCUCUAGAGUCCCCGCCAUUACGCGCUGGCAACUAAAGACGGGGGUUGCGCUCGUUGCGGCACUUAAGCCAACACCUCACGGCACGAGCUGACGACAGCCAUGCAGCACCUGUGCUAGCCCCUUACGGACACGGGCUUUCACCCGCUUUAACUAGCAUGUCAAACCCAGGUAAGGUUCUUCGCGUUGCAUCGAAUUAAGCCUCAUGCUCCGCCGCUUGUGCGGGUCCCCGUCAAUUCCUUUGAGUUUUAACCUUGCGGCCGUACUCCCCAGGCGGAUAACUUAAUGCGUUAGCUGCGCCACCAAGACCCUAAGGGCCCUGACAGCUAGUUAUCAUCGUUUACGGCGUGGACUAC
rnacentral:misc_RNA from 1 species